rnacentral:rRNA from 1 species
AUUGAACGCUGGCGGCAGGCCUAACACAUGCAAGUCGAACGGUAACAGGAAGAAGCUUGCUUCUUUGCUGACGAGUGGCGGACGGGUGAGUAAUGUCUGGGAAACUGCCUGAUGGAGGGGGAUAACUACUGGAUACGGUAGCUAAUACCGCAUAACGUCGCAAGACCAAAGAGGGGGACCUUCGGGCCUCUUGCCAUCGGAUGUGCCCAGGUGGGAUUAGCUAGGAGGUGGGGUAACGGCUCACCUAGGCGACGAGCCCUACGUGGUCUGAGAGGAUGAGCGGCGGCACUGGAGGUGAGACAGGGACCAGACGCCUGCGGGAGGGAGCAGUGGGGAAUAGUGGACAAUGGGGGCAAGCCUGAUGCAGCCAGGCGGCGUGUAUGACGACAGCCUUCGGGUUGUAAAGAACUUUCAGCGGGGAGGAAGGGAGUAAAGUUAAUACCUUGGCUGAUUGACGUUACCCGGAGAAGAAGCACCGGCUAACUACGUG